GCCGCCCCACCUCCUGGUCUGCAGGGCCUGGGGACGCUGGGGACGCCAGGCCUGAGUCGGGGCGGGCGCGGGGCCUUCUUGUAAGGUCGGCAGGAGGAGGAGAUGAGGCUUGGGGGGCCCGGCAGGGCAGGGGCUGGAGCACCCCUGGGGCACCUCAGGCGGGCCUGUGGGUAAGACACCAACCAAAAGCAAUGAUAGAAAUGACAGCUCCUGGAGUCCAGGGGAGAGGACGAGCCCUCGGGAGCUGGCAGGGCCUGUGACACCGGGCGGAGGGGCUCGGGCACUUCCUUCCAAGGCUCCUGGUUCACCUUAGAAGCCGGGUGGGCACCGCCUUCACCUCUGCUCGGGGUGGCGGGGACCCGGGUCAGGCUGCGGGCUCCCUGGCCAAGGAGGCAAUGCAGGGCUGGAAGGAAGCCCCAGGCCCUCCACACCAGCUCGGCCGCUCCUGUGCUUUGCUGGCCUCCGAAGGAACCCCGGAUGCACAUGCACCCACACACCAGCAGUGCGUGUCCCGCAGAACCUCCCAAGGAGGUGGCCUCCGUCCCACAGGUGUUCCCGCCAGCUGUGCUUUCCACGGUCCCCUCUCCUUCCUCCCCCGGCCAGUGUCUUGGAGGCGUUAGGAGGUGAGGGAGAAAGUUCCCUAUUUCCAAUUUUCCUGGAAUGGAAAGAAUGGCUGGUCUCCAAGAAAGUCAACAUCUUCCAUGACAAAGGACUUGCCCCAACAAGUUGUUGUAGAGUGUUAACAUUUUUAAAAAACUGUGCCACUUCCUGAGCCCUAGUCUAGAUGUUUUGUGUAUCAUAAAUGAUCCACUUUAAGCUUCGGACAGUCCUAGGAGGGAGCUACUAUUAUCCCCACCCUGCAGAUGUAGAAACUGAGGCCCGCGGUAGUUUUAUGGGACUCACUCAAGGUCCCAGCAGGCAGUGGUAGAUUUGGGAUUUGAAGUCAGGUCUCAGACUUGGAACCCUGGGUAUCUCCUCUUUAUUUCCACUAUUUUUGUUGUUGUUGAUGUUCUUAUUGAAAAUGGCUUUAUAGGUUUUGUAAAAUAAAGCGUGGAACGUCACCUCGAGGACUACCA
rnacentral:lncRNA from 1 species